CAAACCCAGCUCGCUAACCGGCGCGGGCAGAGUACAGCUCCCAGGCUCCCGAAGCUUCCCACAUCUGGAGGAUGACGACCCUCCCCUGCCCACAUCUGGAGGGCGUCCAGCUGCGAGCCAGCGGGGCACAGCUCUCUUCUCCUGGCCUGGAUCCCACCCCCACCCAGGAGGACUGAGAAUCCCAUCAUCCCGUGCACAUCUCAUCCCAGGAGGGAGAGAGGAGCUGCCGAGCAGAAAGCAGACUGGCUGCAGGGACAGAAGACACCAAGGGCACCCUCCCCCCACAGCUAUGCCUGGACCUCCUGCAAGAAGAGGAAGCCUUAGGGGUCUUUAUUGUAUCCUCAAGACCCCAGAGAGAAACAGAAGUGCUGAGGGGUCACAGGCAGUUCUCUUACCCUCUCUGGGCCUCGAAUAUUUAUCCAUAGGAGGCUGAAAGUACCUGCCUCGCAACUCAUUCAUGAGGGUCAAUGGGACGACAGUGGCAAGAGGGCUUGGCACACUGCCCAGACUGUUCCAAAGCCAGGGCUGGGGCUGCCAAAAAGGCCACCUGUGCUUCACCAUGCUCCAUCCUCCCUCCCUUCCACCUCCCCAGGCCGGGCUCCACUUGUCCAGCUCUCUGACUUCCUGGCAAGGUUGAGUGGGCUCCAGCUAGGAAGGGGCCAGCUGACCUUGUUGGCCGGAGCACUAAUCCCCUCCAGAUGGGCCGGUGGCUUGCACUGAGGGCCUGGCUGCCCAGACAGAGCUGACUCUGGUCCCAGUGACCAUGUGUGGCUAUGUGUGACCGUGUGAAGGGAGCAAUUCCAUCCAGUCUCCCGGUUCCUUCCUGCUUCACUCCUCCCCACUGCUGACAUCCCCCACAAGCAGUGGCCCCAUGAAGGCCUUCUUGUCUCUAGUAGCCUCUUUUGGCUCUCUAUGUUGCUUAGCUGGGAGGCUGAGGAUGCCUGGCACAGCCGAUUCCCAAAGGCCUCAGAGGGACAGCUCCUCCCCCUGCUUCCCCCACCCCCUGUCAGCUCCAUCACUCUGCACCUGCCCUUCCCAAAGCAUGUGUCCCAGUCCCCAUCCCUCAACCCAAGGAAGCUAGACGGGGUUUCUGGAGCCUGGGAAGAUGUAUGUGUCAAGGACAGGACUCAGGAGCAUUUCCCAACAUUUAGGGGAAAGGAUGAGGUCACAGGAAGGCUUUCUCUGCAGCAAGAAGGACUUAGAUAGAUUUGGGGAAGGACUUCCAACCCAACAGAUGUUCCAAAAGAAAGAGAACUCUUUCUUUGGACCAGCUUGUAUGAAAGCAGACGAAUGGACAACAUGACCUCCUGCAAGGAGGCCUUGCUUCCAUCCUUUCGAGGCUGGGGCUAGAUGGAUACCCCAAAAGAAAUGUCUUAGUUGUGACAAUAGCAGCUCCCACAAUGCACCAGGGCAUAUGCAAAGUCACCAUUCUGUGAAAUAUAAAAGCUCAUAUAAAGGA
rnacentral:antisense_RNA from 1 species